CGGACGGGUGAGUAACGCGUGAGAAUCUGCCUUCAGGUCUGGGACAACCACUGGAAACGGUGGCUAAUACCGGAUGUGCCGCAAGGUGAAAGGUUAACUGCCUGAAGAUGAGCUCGCGUCUGAUUAGCUAGUAGGUAGUGUAAAGGACUACCUAGGCGACGAUCAGUAGCUGGUCUGAGAGGACGAUCAGCCACACUGGGACUGAGACACGGCCCAGACUCCUACGGGAGGCAGCAGUGGGGAAUUUUCCGCAAUGGGCGAAAGCCUGACGGAGCAAUACCGCGUGAGGGAGGAAGGCUCUUGGGUCGUAAACCUCUUUUCUCAGGGAAGAACAAAAUGACGGUACCUGAGGAAUAAGCAUCGGCUAACUCCGUGCCAGCAGCCGCGGUAAUACGGAGGAUGCAAGCGUUAUCCGGAAUGAUUGGGCGUAAAGCGUCCGCAGGUGGCUAUGUAAGUCUGCUGUUAAAGAGUCUAGCUCAACUAGAUAAGAGCAGUGGAAACUACAUGGCUAGAGUGCGUUCGGGGCAGAGGGAAUUCCUGGUGUAGCGGUGAAAUGCGUAGAGAUCAGGAAGAACACCGGUGGCGAAGGCGCUCUGCUAGGCCGCAACUGACACUGAGGGACGAAAGCUAGGGGAGCGAAUGGGAUUAGAUACCCCAGUAGUC
rnacentral:rRNA from 1 species